UGGCUAAAACCUCCGUUUCCUUCCUCUCAAACCUUUUUUCUGGUUUUAUUCUUGAUUCAAUCCAUUUUCAACCUUCCAAUACUUCCUCUUUACCGUGGAUUUCUUUAGCUUGGUGGAGUUCUCUUGUUUUCUUUCCUUGAUGGUUUUUACUCUUCUUCAAUCAAUUUCCUGCAAGGUUUCUUUUAAUCAUUUUUUGGGGGAAGAAAGUUGUGUUGAAGUUUUGCAAAGUUUCGAGAGUAAGAAUGGUGUUCUUUGGGUCUUUAAUGGAGUAAAACUGGUGCGCUAUUGUUCGGUGUUUGUUGGGCGUAAGUUUGGAUCGAUUCCAUAUGGUAAAAGCGAUAGAGAGAAUUAGUGGCUAUUUCAUCGUGAAAGUGUUGUCCGGUGGUGAUCAAAUAAGACUUUACUUUUUAAAAGAGUAUGUGAACCAAGAGGUGACUUUGAGGCAAUAUGGGGAUGCUAUGUUGGGAUUUUGUUAGUUUUGGUGUUGUUAAGUUUUGUAAAUAACUUUGACAAUGGUUUGGUCUUGAAUUACUUGAUUGCGUGUAAUGUUGGUGAUUUGAAAUAUGUUGUUCGUU